rnacentral:rRNA from 1 species
UACGGAGGGUGCAAGCGUUAUCCGGAUUUACUGGGUUUAAAGGGUGCGUAGGUGGGCGAGAAAGUCAGUGGUGAAAUCUCCGGGCUUAACCCGGAAACUGCCAUUGAUACUAUUUGUCUUGAAUACUUUGGAGGUAAGCGGAAUAUGUCAUGUAGCGGUGAAAUGCUUAGAUAUGACAUAGAACACCAAAUUGCGCAGGCAGCUUACUACACCAGUAAUUGACACUGAGGCACGAAAGCGUGGGGAUCGA